rnacentral:rRNA from 1 species
AUUUUAUCUUCGGAUAGAUAGUAAACUGGCGAACGGGUGAGUAACGCGUAAAUAACUUGCCUCGGAGAUUGGGACAACAUUGGGAAACCAGUGCUAAUACCAAAUAAUGCAGCGGGCCCUUCGGGGUACAGUUGUUAAAGUAGGCUUCGGCUUACACUUUGAGAUAGAUUUGCGUCCGAUUAGUUAGUUGGUAGGGUAAUAGCCUACCAAGACCGAGAUCGGUAGCUGGUCUGAGAGGAUGAUCAGCCACACUGGAAUUGAGAUACGGUCCAGACUCCUACGGGAGGCAGCAGUGAGGAAUUUUGCACAAUGGGCGAAAGCCUGAUGCAGCAACACCGCGUGAUUGAUGAAGUUUUUAGGAAUGUAAAAAUCUGUCGUAAGUGAAGAAAUGUUUCGGAUGUUAAUACCAUCUGUCAUUGACGGUAACUUACAAGAAAGGACCGGCUAACUUCGUGCCAGCAGCCGCGGUAAUACGAGGGGUCCUAGCGUUGUCCGGAUUUACUG